CCCUCCGUCCCCCUCAAUUGUUUACAUUGGAGGGGGACACGGAGACCAAGACAAUGUAUGAAAAAUGAGUAAAGUUAGAUGAAAAGUGGGUAAAGUGGUGGGACCCAUCAAUAUUUAAUAAUAGAUUUGAGAUAGUGGAGGAAAGUAGUGGGUGUAAUACUCCCUCCGUCCCAAUUCUUUUGGCUGAUUUGAUUUUUGCACACAUAUUAAUAAUAGUGCAUGGAGUGUUUAUCUUUAUCAAUGCAUAUCCCCUUUUUUAACAGCUUUUCAAUGUUUACAGUAAAAGUGUAUGGGGACUUUCAUUUUUUCAAAACAACGUAGGAACUUUCAUUUGACUCUACACUAAAUGCAGGUAGGUGGUUGUUUACAUAUAGCCUAUAUAAACCAACGUUAAAACUCUCUGGCCAUUAGCUCUUUUUUCUUCUUCUAUUUUCUCUUUGAAUAUACAACAUGCAAAUGAAACAGGAGAAGAAAAUAUGGUUUGAUCUUAAUGAGCCACCUCAGACACCUAAAAUAUUUUUUGAUCUUAAUGAGCCACCUCAAAUACCCAGAGUUGUUGAUAUCAAUGAACCAGAGCCGCCUGAAAAUAUGUCUAUAGAAAAGCAGCAAAGCAUCAUGCAAAUGUUGAGUAUUUUUAUCUCAUGUUGUAACUGUUGUUAUUAAGAGCUGGGCUAGAUGAUUAUACUGCAUGCAGAGAAGAUGGAGAUAUUAACUAAUGUUAAUGAUUUAUAUUUGAUGUAAUCAAAUAUUUUUGCAAUGUUUCACGGAUAUGUUUCGGGAAGUGUAUGUUUUUAAGUUUUA